UUUAUCCCUAAUUAUUGUCAAAAGUUCAAUUUCGAAAAGUUUUAAUUCAAAAAGUGUAAACAUAAAUCUUUAGUUCACAAUUAAUUUUUAUUUAAAACAAAGUCAGAAAAGAUGUCAAACAAACCCGAUGGCCCCUCAGUCGUGGAAAACCGAAAGGCAAUAACGUUCGGCUUAAAAGUUUACAAGCAAAUAUUGAAAGCAAUGCCGAACCAUACCAAUUUAUUGAUCCCACCAUUUGUACUUUACAAAGGUCUAGGACUUCUUAAUUUGGUAGUACCCGAUAGUGACAGUAAAGAGGAACUGGCAGCAGUUUUGGGGGCGAAAAGGAAUCAACAAGACACUGCAAAAGUAUUCUGGCGGAUGAUUUGCAAAUAUUUGAAAAGAGGCGGAAACAAACGCCCGAUAUUUCUGGCUCGAUUGUUCAUAGAUAAGAAGUUUGAACUCAAAAAGGAUACCAAGGAACUGAUGAAAACUUACUUUAGGAUAUCGAGGAAAGCUAUCGACAUAGCGGAUGCUAGCAGUAUAGCUAAUACCUUCAACCAAUGGGCUAAACGGAAAUCCGGAAAUGCGAUAACAAAAGUUGCCGAACCCAGUCAAAUAGACACCAACCAAGAAAUGUUCCUGGUGUGCAUAACUACUUUUAAGGCUCGAUGGCAAUAUCAGUUUUAUAAGCCAAGCACUGCGAAUGUCAACUUCCAAGUAAAUGACACUCAAGUUGUGAAGGUGCCGAUGAUGUUCUUAUCUAAAAAGAAACUCAGAUAUGGUGUCUUAGGAGAUUUGCAGUUUUUCAAUCUAUAUUUCAAGGACGAUGAACACGCAAUGUUUUUCAUCCUCCCGAAAAAUCUACAAGCAUUCAGAGAUGUUGAAAGCAAGAUCGAGACUUUUGAUAUUAUAGGAUUGCGAAGGAGUAUGACAAUCUAUGAUAUGUCAGUUGCUAUUCCAAAGUUCAGAAUCGAAAUGCAGUUCCCAUUGUCCGAAUAUGUAAGAAAGGCAGGCCUGAAUUUGACGUUUUCGCCUCGUUCAAAAUUUACAGAAUUUACACCACGGCCAACCAACCUGCAGCAAGGGUUCCUCUCAGCAGUCAUAGAUGUUCAAGAAGGAGGACUAGCUACAGACGGCUACGGUUGGGAGUCAGGCGAUACCAACCCGACAGUCACUCUCAACCGUCCAUUUUUCUAUGCUGUUAUGUCGGCGAAACACCGAGUAUUCCUUUGGGGAUGUGUUUCAAAUCCAUCUACGAAAUCGAGGACGACGGUGAAAGACAUAAUUGAAAACCCUGAAGUCUUUCAGCGCCAGCCCGCAGAUAUCAAAUGUGAGUGUUCCCGAAGUGCCAGGACCAAGAAACGUUCGAAAUGUUCGAAAAGAAAAGUUCAAAGGAAAAACUCUUCAGAUUCUAAUACAGAACCACAAGAGGAUAGCUAAAAGCCUUUAGCUGGUCAUAAUAUGAUAUAUCAUCUAAAUUUAAUUGAGCCACAUCCACAGGUACUUUUGGUUGCAUCUUAUGCUACAACUACUUAAAGGACAUUCCGCAAAAUUUUAGUCUAAAUAUUUUAACGAUAAAGAGGUCCGCAAAAGUUGGAAAUAAUAUGAAAACUAUUCCCAUCUGUGGUAUGGUAGAGAAAUGCUUUUCUUAAUAUAGUUCAGCAUAGUAAUCGCAAAGAAAAGCUUCGGUUCAUCAUUCUUCCACCACGCUGGUUCGGUGAUCAGCGUAUAUGGGAUUUUUUUUAUUAGGUAUCAAUGUUAACACAUUAUGGAAGCAAGUUUAAAGCCAAUCAUGUUUUAUAUUGAAUACAUUUUUUUUAAAUUCGGACAUUUAACAAAAAUUUGCAAUAAAUUUAUUUCAAAACGUUA